rnacentral:tRNA from 1 species
GUGGCUGUGGCUCAGUGGUAGGGCGCCCACCAUGCACGUGUGAGGCCCUGGGUUCGAUCCUCAGCACCACA